rnacentral:misc_RNA from 1 species
GAUGAAGAACGUAGCGAAAUGCGAUAAGUAAUGUGAAUUGCAGAAUUCCGUGAAUCAUCGAAUCUUUGAACGCACAUUGCGCCCUCUGGUAUUCCGGGGGGCAUGCCUGUCCGAGCGUCAUUUGCAACCCUCAAGCCCGGCUUGUGUGAUGGGUGCCGUCCCCUACGGGACGCGCCCCGAAGGCAAUGGCGGCGUCGCGGUUAUCCGAUCAGCCAAAGUGUAUGGGGCUUUGUCACUCACUUUACGGCCCGGACCGGCGCCAGUCCGAAUCAAUCUUUUUUCUAAAGUUGACCUCGGAUCAGGCAGGGAUACCCGCUGAACUUAAGCAUAUCAAUAAGCGAGGA